rnacentral:antisense_RNA from 1 species
CUUCACCGAACCCAGCCACAACGGACGGUCCCCGGUACGUUCCCGCCCGUAGGUUUCCAGCAGGGCCUGCGCCUC